GAAUGCUGACAUAAGUAACGAUAAAGCGGGUGAAAAGCCCGCUCGCCGGAAGACCAAGGGUUCCUGUCCAACGUUAAUCGGGGCAGGGUGAGUCGACCCCUAAGGCGAGGCCGAAAGGCGUAGUCGAUGGGAAACGGGUUAAUAUUCCCGUACUUGGUGUUACUGCGAAGGGGGGACGGAGAAGGCUAUGUUGGCCGGGCGACGGUUGUCCCGGUUUAAGCGUGUAGGUGUGUGUUCCAGGUAAAUCCGGUUCACUUUAACACUGAGGCGUGA
rnacentral:rRNA from 7 species